GGGGGGGGGUGGGGGGGGGCGGGGGGGGGGGGGGGGGGGGGGGGGGGCCGGGCGGUGGGGGGGUGCGCGGGGGGCGGGCGGGUGAGUGCCACGUGAGUAACCUGCCCUGGACUGGGGGAGAACUUCAGGAAACUGGGGCUAAUACCGGCUAGGAGCUCCGGCUGCAGGGGGGGGGCUGGCAAGUUUCGGCGGUUGGGGAUGGACUCGCGGCUUGUCAGCUUGUUGGUGGGGUCGUGGCUUACCAAGGCUUUGACGGGUAGCCGGCCUGAGAGGGUGACCGGCCACAUUGGGACUGAGAUACGGCCCAGACUCCUACGGGAGGCAGCAGUGGGGAAUAUUGCACAAUGGGCGGAAGCCUGAUGCAGCAACGCCGCGUGCGGGAUGACGGCCUUCGGGUUGUAAACCGCUUUCGCCUGUGACGAAGCGUGAGUGACGGUAAUGGGUAAAGAAGCACCGGCUAACUACGUG
rnacentral:rRNA from 1 species